rnacentral:misc_RNA from 1 species
GAUGAAGAACGUAGCGAAAUGCGAUAAGUAAUGUGAAUUGCAGAAUUCAGUGAAUCAUCGAAUCUUUGAACGCACAUUGCGCCCGCCAGUAUUCUGGCGGGCAUGCCUGUUCGAGCGUCAUUUCAACCAUCAAGCCCCGGGCUUGUGUUGGGGACCUGCGGCUGCCGCAGGCCCUGAAAUGCAGUGGCGGGCUCGCUAUCACUCCGAGCGUAGUAGUUACAUCUCGCUCUGGGCGUGCUGCGGGUUCCGGCCGUUAAAAGCCUUAUUUACCCAAGGUUGACCUCGGAUCAGGUAGGAAGACCCGCUGAACUUAAGCAUAUCAAUAAGCGGAGGA